UACGUAGGGGGCAAGCGUUGUCCGGAGUUACUGGGCGUAAAGCGCACGCAGGCGGUCGCGUAAGAGUGCGGGGACAGUGGGCGGCUUAACUGCCCAAGGGUCGCACAGACUGCGUGACUGGAGGGCCAGAGAGGGACCUGGAAUCCGGGUGGAGCGGUGAAAUGCGUAGAGAUCCGGAGGAACACCAAUGGCGAAGGCAGGGUCGUCGUGCUGGCACCUGACGCUCAUGUGCGAAAGCCAGGGGAGCGAACGGG
rnacentral:rRNA from 1 species